AUUGAACGCUGGCGGCAGGCCUAACACAUGCAAGUCGAACGGUAACAGGAAGAAGCUUGCUUCUUUGCUGACGAGUGGCGGACGGGUGAGUAAUGUCUGGGAAACUGCCUGAUGGAGGGGGAUAACUACUGGAAACGGUAGCUAAUACCGCAUAACGUCGCAAGACCAAAAAGGGGGACCUUCGAGCCUCUUGCCAUCGGAUGUGCCCAGAUGGGAUUAGCUAGUAGGUGGGGUAACGGCUCACCUAGGCGACGAUCCCUAGCUGGUCUGAGAGGAUGACCAGCCACACUGGAACUGAGACACGGUCCAGACUCCUACGGGAGGCAGCAGUGGGGAAUAUUGCACAAUGGGCGCAAGCCUGAUGCAGCCAUGCCGCGUGUAUGAAGAAGGCCUUCGGGUUGUAAAGUACUUUCAGCGGGGAGGAAGGGAGUAAAGUUAAUACCUUUGCUCAUUGACGUUACCCGCAGAAGAAGCACCGGCUAACUCCGUG
rnacentral:rRNA from 1 species